CCUACGGGGGGCUGCAGUGGGGAAUAUUGGACGAUUGGGGCAACCCUGAUCCAGCCAUGCCGCGUGUGUGAAGAAGGCCCUCGGGUUGUAAAGCACUUUCAGUGAGGAAGAACGCCUGGUGGUUAAUACCCAUCAGGAAAGACAUCACUCACAGAAGAAGCACCGGCUAACUCCGUGCCAGCAGCCGCGGUAAUACGGAGGGUGCGAGCGUUAAUCGGAAUUACUGGGCGUAAAGCGCGCGUAGGUGGCUUGAUAAGCCGGUUGUGAAAGCCCCGGGCUCAACCUGGGAACGGCAUCCGGAACUGUCAAGCUAGAGUGCAGGAGAGGAAGGUAGAAUUCCCGGUGUAGCGGUGAAAUGCGUAGAGAUCGGGAGGAAUACCAGUGGCGAAGGCGGCCUUCUGGACUGACACUGACACUGAGGUGCGAAAGCGUGGGUAGCAAACAGGAUUAGAUACCCUGGUAGUC
rnacentral:rRNA from 1 species